rnacentral:misc_RNA from 1 species
CUGAGUUCGCCGGUCGCUCACCCGACCCGAUCUCCAACCCUUUGUGAACACAUCUUGUUGCUUCGGGGGCGACCCUGCCGUUCGCGGCAUUCCCCCCGGAGGUCAUCAAAACACUGCAUUCUUACGUCGGAGUAAAAAGUUAAUUUAAUA